rnacentral:miRNA from 1 species
UUUACCUUCUUGUAUAAGCACUGUGCUAAAAUUGCAGAUACUAGGACUAUAUCUUGGUUUUUGCAAUAAUGCUAGCAGAGUACACACAAGAAGAAAAGUAACAGCA